AGUUGACUCCUGGCUCAGGACGAACGCUGGCGGCGUGCCUAACACAUGCAAGUCGAACGGGGAUUUUGUUUCGGCAGAAUCCUAGUGGCGAACGGGUGAGUAACGCGUAGGCAACCUGCCCCCCGGAUUGGGACAACACCCCGAAAGGGGUGCUAAUACCGGAUACGAAGAUAAUACCGCAUGGUGUUAUUUUGAAAGAUGGCCUCUACAUGUAAGCUAUCGCCGGGGGAUGGGCCUGCGUCCGAUUAGCUGGUUGGUGGGGUAACGGCCCACCAAGGCGACGAUCGGUAGCCGGUCUGAGAGGAUGAACGGCCACAUUGGGACUGAGACACGGCCCAGACUCCUACGGGAGGCAGCAGUGGGGAAUCUUCCGCAAUGGGCGCAAGCCUGACGGAGCAACGCCGCGUGGGUGAGGAAGUUCUUCGGAACGUAAAGCCCUGUUGUACAUGACGAACGUGCUUUCUGUGAACAAUGGGAAGCAAUGACGGUAGUGUACGAGGAAGCCACGGCUAACUACGUGCC
rnacentral:rRNA from 1 species